rnacentral:tRNA from 1 species
ACAAGAUGGUUGAAUUAUAAACAAUAAACUGUAAAUUUAUUUAUGAGGCAUACCUCUCUUG